CGGAUUACUGCUUAGAUUACUUGGCACACAGAUGUAACUGGAUUCAGUAUAAUCUCUAUUUUGACUGAUGCCGUCUGUAAGUUUGAGGCCCUAAAAUGCUGUUCUAAGUUUCAUUGAUUGAAUACCAAACUGAUGUUCAACAAAAGUAAGCUAACCAAGCUCUGAAGCUCGUAUUUCAGUUGCAUUCCUAAUCAGUAAUCUCUAGGAAUCGGUGGGAUGUUCAAAAUACAAUGUUCUAUCGAGCAGCAGUAUGUCAACACUCCCACCAAGGUGAUAACUAGCUUCAUCUCCGCUGGAGCAAUGGAAAUUUGGACGAGAAUUAGAUUCCGCUGCCAUGGUUAAUAUCACUUUGACUACCAAAUUCGUAGCUUAAAAUGGUCGUACAGUAUUUGUAUCCCCCAUGAAUAAAAUGGUGCUACAUCGAAAAUUUGUUCAAGAGUUCAAAAAUCCAGGAGCAACUGGGGAAGAAUUCUUUCAAAGUGAGUAGCUUCAAUUUGGUCUCUCCCUCAGCUUCAGCAAUAGCUGCGGCACGCUGUACGGCCUCUGGAUCAGUUGAAAAGAAAGAAAAAAUCAGAUAAGGAUGAUGAAUAAUGCAAAGAGACGGAAGAAGUCUCAUCAAAACUGAACCUGCUAUGAAAAUCUGAAUGAGUUCAGCGCUCACUUCAAUGCAUUGGCAUUAGCUGCAGACAAAAGAACACCACUUGAGAAUCAAGGAGUGCUGGAUAGCUCCUAGCGAACUAUUCCAAAUAAGAAAAAAGGUUGCAGAUACCGGAAGUAGGGCGAUUCUUCUUGGACGUUCCAGCUCCAACAGUGGCCGCAGUCCAUGGGAACGUCAUUGACUUCAUUUUUCUCCCGCUCUGCAGAAAGUGAGCAAAUCUGAGUCAAGGUACUCAUUUCAAGUAAAGAGAAGUGAAAAACCUUUGGAUGAUCUGUUCCAGACGUGCUUGAAAAUCUCGUGAAUCAAACCCUGAACACGAGAUGAGCAAAUGAAAAAGGGGGGAAAAGAUGUAAUCAUCAAAAAACCUAUAUUCUAGUUUAGAUUAGUCUGUUGUCUUGCUGCCUCAUAAAAAAUCAUCCAAACCCUACAUCUUGUAGAUUGUUUGUGAAUUUUUCUGCACCGAGAUUGAUUUCAAUUCAUCUGCCAGGCGUAUUUUUUGUAGUUUUCUUAAGCUGUCACAAAAUUGGUAACAAAUGGUCUCAGCAAAAAAUGGAAAUAAAAAAAC
rnacentral:lncRNA from 1 species